UAUUGCACAAUGGGCGCAAGCCUGAUGCAGCCAUGCCCCGUGUAUGAAGAAGGCCUUCGGGUUGUAAAGUACUUUCAGCGGGGAGGAAGGCGGUGAGGUUAAUAACUUCGCCGAUUGACGUCACCCGCAGAACAAGCACCGGCUAACUCCGCGCCAGCAGCCGCGGUAAUACGGAGGGUGCAAGCGUUAAUCGGAAUUACUGGGCGUAAAACGCACGCAGGCGGUCUGUUAAGUCAGAUGUGAAAUCCCCGGGCUUAACCUGGGGACUGCAUUUGAAACUGGCAGGCUUGAGUCUCGUAGAGGGGGGUAGAAUUCCAGGUGUAGCGGUGAAAUGCGUAGAGAUCUGGAGGAAUACCGGUGGCGAAGGCGGCCCCCUGGACGAAGACUGACGCUCAGGUGCGAAAGCGUGGGGAGCAAACAG
rnacentral:rRNA from 1 species